rnacentral:misc_RNA from 1 species
UUAAGUUCAGCGGGUAUCCCCACCUGAUCCGAGGUCAACCUUGAAAAGUAGAAGGUGUUAUCCGGCGGUCGAGGCCCGGCUUUGAAAACGCUGGAAAAUGAUCUCGCUGCGCUUAAAGACGGACGGCGACGCCGAUGAGUUUAAGGCGCGCCCGCAAGGGCGGCGCCCAAUACCAAGCAGAGCUUGAGUGUUGUAAUGAC